GUUUGGUCCUAGCCUUACAGUCAAUUUUUACUCGAUUUACACAUGCAAGUAUCCGCACUCCUGUGAAAACGCCCUCAAGUUCCCCAUAGGAAUAAGGAGCCGGUAUCAGGCACAUCCUUUCUGCCCAAGACACCUAGCUAUGCCACACCCACAAGGGACCUCAGCAGUGAUUAACAUUGAUUAUCAGCAAAAGCUUGAUUCAGUUAGAGAAAAUAGAGCCGGCUAAUCUGGUGCCAGCCGCCGCGGUUACACCACGUGGCUCAAAUUGACUUCUAUCGGCGUAAAGAGUGAUUUAAGAACCUAAUAAUUGGCGUCAAAUUUAAACUAAGCUGUGACACGCUUGUCCCUUAGAAGCCCUAAAACGAAAGUUACACCAACUUAACCAACUUGAACUCACGACAACCAAGAAACAAACUGGGAUUAGAUACCCCACUAUGCUUGGCAGUAAACCUUAAAUUACACCUAAAUCGCCAGGGAACUACGAGCAAAGCUUAAAACCCAAAGGACUUGACGGUACCCCAAAUCCACCUAGAGGAGCCUGUCCUAUAAUCGAUAACCCCCGCUUUACCUCACCACUUCUUGUUAUUCAGCCUGUAUACCUCCGUCGUCAGCUUACCUCGUGAGCGACACACAGUGAGCUCAAUGCUAUUUCACCAACACGUCAGGUCAAGGUGCAGCUUAUGAAGUGGCUAGUGAUGGGCUACACUCCCUAAUUUAGAAAAUACGAAAAACUAUUUAUGAAAUCUAGUUUGAAGGCGGAUUUAGAAGUAAAAAGAAACCAGAUAAUUCUUUUUAACUAGGCACUGGGGUGUGUACACACCGCCCGUCACCCUCCUCAAAAUCUUACUGUAGUUUUUAACUCACCUAUGAUAAACAGAAGAGGCAAGUCGUAACAUGGUAAGUAUACNNNNNNNNNNNNNNNNNNNNAUCCUAUAGCUUACACAAGCACCCCGCUUACACCGGACAGAUCUCUGUAAAACUCAGAUUAUUGUGAGCCAACUCUCUAGCCCUAACCUUCCUUAUGCCAUCUUUAUAACCCUAUCUACUAACUAAAACAUUUUAACGACUUAGUAAAGGAGAUUGAAAGACCUUUAGGAGCUAUAAAAAGUACCGCAAGGGAAAGAUGAAAUAAAAAUGAAACAAACUUUAAGCAAAAAACAGUAGAGAAAAACCCUCGUACCUUUUGCAUCAUGGUUUAACUAGUCUAACCAAGCAAAAAGACCUUCAGUUUGACCCCCCGAAACUAAACGAGCUACUUUAAGGCAGCUUACUGAGCUAACCCGUCUCUGUUGUAAAAGAGUGGGAAGACCUUUAAGUAGAAGUGAUAGACCUACCGAGUUUAGUAAUAGCUGGUUGCUUAAGAAAAGGACCUUAGUCCCUGCUAAACUGACCACUAUAUAAUAAAUUACCUUCAGUUUAGACCCAUUCAAAUAAGGUACAGCCUGUUUGACAAAGGACACAACCUCUUUAUAUGGGUAAUAAACGCAACUUUACAAUUUAGUAGGCCUAAGAGCAGCCACCUUAAUAAACAGCGUCACAGCUUAGUUAUAAACAAGCCCAAUCACCCCCACAACCUAAAACCCUACACCACUAUUAAGCAAUUCCAUAUCUCUAUGGAAAUUCUUAUGUUAAAACUAGUAACAAGAAGUAACACUUCUCUUCAAUGCAAACUCACAUCAGACUGGAUUAGCCACUGAUAAAUAACACUCGUAAUUUCCAAAUAGCAACUAAACAAGAAAACUCUAUUCCCCACAGUGUUAACCUAAUACAAGAGCAUUACAAGAAAGAUUAAAAGAAAAAGAAGGAAUUCGGCAAAUAUUGACCCCGCCUGUUUACCAAAAACAUCGCCUCUUGACCCAUAUAGGAGGUCCAGCCUGCCCAGUGACAUUGUUCAACGGCCGCGGUAUCCUAACCGUGCGAAGGUAGCGUAAUCAUUUGUUCUUUAAAUGAGGACUAGUAUGAAAGGCAUCACGAGAGUCAUGCUGUCUCCUUUCUCUAAUCCGUGAAACUAAUCCCCCCGUGAAGAAGCGGGAAUAAAAAUAUAAGACGAGAAGACCCUAUGGAGCUUUAAACAAAUAACACCUGCCUUCUUUUGUUUAAUUUCCGAAAAACCACUUACUCUGGCACGCUAAUUAUUAGUUUUUGGUUGGGGUGACCACGGAAUAAAAAACAACUCCCGCAAUGAAAAUACUCCUCCACUAAGUUAAGGACUACGAUUCUACGCAUCAAUAUACUGACAUCAAUUGACCCAACAUGUUGAUCAAUGAACCAAGUUACCCUAGGGAUAACAGCGCAAUCCACUUCAAGAGCCCCUAUCGACAAGUGGGUUUACGACCUCGAUGUUGGAUCAGGGCAUCCUAGUGGUGUAGCCGCUACUAAAGGUUCGUUUGUUCAACGAUUAAAGCCCU
rnacentral:ncRNA from 1 species